AUUUCCUGCACCUGUUUGACCAAACACAAAAUUAUCUGG
rnacentral:antisense_RNA from 1 species